AUUAUUAAUGGCAAGUCACUCCUUUCUGGGGCCACCACCUUCUGGGCCUGGGGCAGCCCUCCCUCCAGUUUGGUCCACCAGGGCACUAGUGUGCUGCCAGAUCUCAGCCUCCAAGUUGCCUAGGCCACCCCAUGUGACCCUGAUGGCAGCUCCUGUGGGUCCACUAGGACCCAGCCUACUGGUUUGUGCAGACGUGACCAGGGGCAGGGUGCAUAUGCCUCACGUGCACAGGAGUGUGUGCCCGAGCAGGAGCCUUCCUCCACCUGUGUGCAUGUCCAUGGGCUUCCGUCCACUAACGGCUUCCAGGGAGCAUUCCCAACUGUUCCAGGGGCUGAGUGAGGCCUGGGGCUCUUCUCUAAACCCUGCCUGUCCCUGUGCUGCUUCCUGUCUGUGCACCCAGCUCCUGCCCACCAAGGGAGAGCAGCUGCCUGGGGAAUCCAUUAAGGCCUGUUGUCAUGUGAGUUGCAUAAGGGAUAUAAGAGAAGGUGGAGAACUGCACUGUGCCGUUCUGGAACCACCAGUCUUGUGCCCUGGGGCCAGAGGGGAUGCCCUUCACAAAGGAGGCCAGAGUAUGGUGAGGCCAACAGAGCAGGAGAUGACCACCACUGAAAGGAGUUUGUUACACACAGUUCUGAAGAGCCAGAUGAUGGAGGCCGCAGGCUUGGCGUUGUCUGCGUGGCAGGUGAGGUUGAGGGGGUCUCCCGCCCGCAGGCUGAUCACAGGCCCCCCCAGGAUGACGGGGUCGUCGGGCGGCACUGCGGGGACAGGAGUCGAGAGUUCAGUGAGGGCACCUCCCCUCCCGCGGGGCUGGCAGGCUGGGCUGGGCGGAUUUUAUGGAGCCAAUGACAAACAAUAAUUAUCAUACUUUAAUAAAAUGUGUAAUCCCCUUGUAUUAUAACAGUAGCAACAUCAGCAAUAAUCCCUGACAUAUGCACUGCGUGUUUAUUUGCAGAGGAUGUUCAUGUCGCCCUCUCAUCUGCUGCUCACGACGAGCCUGUGAGGGGACAGGGCGGGCAUCAUUAGCCUCGUUUCACAGAUCAGGAAGCAGAGCUCGCUCGGAAAUAACAGCCAUAUUCCUUUCUUUUUAACUUUAUAUAUUUACUUUUAAACAAAGCACAGUCACAUGUGUUGUCUACUUUAAUCCUCACAACGAUCUUGUGAGGUAAACAGUAUCAUUAUCCUAAUUGCACAGACCUGGAAACUAAGGCUCAGCCGGAUUAAGUGACUUGCUCAAGGUCACACAGCAAAUGAGUGGCAGAGCCAGGACUGGAAGCCAGGUCCUCUGAUGCAUGGAGCCACAGGUCAGCCCCUUCCCUCGCAGGGGACAGGUGGCAGGCAACUUUUCAAGGCUGGGACAAGGUUUCAGGGGCUGUGAACCCUUCAUCUCCUUAGCACUUCCUUCCUCCAGAGCGCCCCAGCCCCUCCUCCCAGAGCCAGCGAGAGUGUCUCCCGUCCUGGUUCUCACACUUCCACUACAUUCACAUAGCUGGUCUGAGACUCCGGGCUCUUGCUGAGAGGUGGGGAGAGCCAGGAGGAGAGGGAUGUCCCCCGUGGGGAGCCUGACUCCCACAGCACCCAGUGGAGAACCUGGUGCCUGACGGAAGCUCCAUAAACAUUUGCAUCUCCAAUGGAGUCACCCCUUUGACCCCCAUGAUGACCAUGGGAAGCAAGAUGGGCAAUGACAGUGGCAGAUGACCGUCGUUUGGAGAAGAGGCCCAGAGAAGUUAAGUGGCAGGCCUAAGGUCACAGAGUGUAUUCUGAUGUUCGUGCUUGUGGACAUCGAGGGUCUCAGGCCUCUGCUGCUCCCUGCCUCUCCUUCUUGGACAAACCAGAGAUGGGGCAGGGCUCCCCGGAGACCACCUGAGGAAUCCAUAGUCUUACCCCGCCCAGGGAGGGGCUGGGUCAGUCAGUUCUGGAGGUCUGGGGAGGGCUGAGCCACAUGUUUGCUCAGUCAAUGGAGGAAGGGGUAAUUGAGUGACAAGUUGGGGUCCUGGCGCAAAGGGCCUUCUUUGCCUCAUUGCCAGAGAAGGUCCAUCCUGGCACCCAGGCCCUGUGCAAGCUCCUGUGGUCGUGGGCUGGGGGAAGACAGAUGCAGCAGCUCUGGACAGCUCCAGGCUAGUCCCGCCCUAGGAGCUGCACAGCCCAGGGUCGCCCCCUGCUGCCACUCUCCUGGUGUACCCUGGCGUCUCAGGAAACUCCAGGAGGCUCUGGGGCCAGGUGCCCAGGGUGGAGGUGCUCCGGCUGAGCUUGCCCAGAGCAGGAGUGUUGGAAAGAACCGUUUGAAGCUUCAGGAAUAGAAUAAAUGCCUGGCCGUGCUUGUCCCAUUAGGAAAAAGGGCCUGUCCACCCACUUUUGAAAAACUUGACCAUGAAAACCCUAUGAAUAGCGGAGCGUUGUCUGAUACAGCGCCGAAAGGCAUCACUGUUCUGCUGCGGCCCCAGGACUCAGGCAGGGCCAGAGAGAGGGCUGUGUUCAUGCUGGGAGAGCUGACUGGAGCAGAGGGAGGACACCCAGGGGCCUCUGGGCUCAUCCUAAUCAGCAGCCCUCACACCUGGAAUCCUCCUUCGUCCAGUGUCCCGGGGGCAGUCCUGCACAGCCGCAUUCCAUUCUUCCCUCCGACAUUCCUCCUUCCGUUUCUCCCGCUCAGCCUCUUCCAUGUCCCAGUCUGUGCAUAUCACGGCUGAGUAAAGCCAGACACGGCCUGCCCUCUUGAAGCUGAUGGGAGACCUCUGUUACUCAGAGCGUGUGCCCGGGAUGCACCUGCAGCAGCCACAUCACCUGGGAGCUUGUUAGAAAUGCAGCCACUGGUGCUCUGCCUCAGGACCGCCGGAACCAGAAUCGGCACUGAAGAAAGACCCCAGAUAAUUUGUAUGUACAUCAGUGUUUGAGGAGCACUGCUCUAGAGAGCCCCAAGGAAUAAUUACAAACUAAUGAGUGCUUUGAGGGAAAGGCUCAUUGGACAAGGAGAGCACACAGAGGGGCCCUUCGCUGGCUCCCUCGGUGACUUCUGAGUUAGGUUGGAGAAGGCACGUACUGCUCACUGGACGUGGGAUUUGAAGUUAGUGCUCUUGUUUCAUGACAGAUUCCUUUGCAUAUGGGAUUUCUUUAGCAUGGAAUGUGGAGUUCUCUUUCCCCUUCUUUUCCUGGCUCACUCUUACUCAGCCUUCAAGACUUAGCUAAGGGGCUGCCAGUCUAUGAGGCCUUUCUGGAAUCUCCCAGUUGGGCCAAGUAACUUUUGUCUAUGGUCCCAUAGCCGUCCGGGCAUCCGUCUGUCUCAAUAUCUAACCCAUCCUCUGGGAAUGGUCUGCAUGUGCUGGCCCUCCCCUAGACUGCAACCUUAUCCACCCGUGAGCCUCACCACCUGGCAUAGCUCCUGCCACGCUGGGGACAACACAGAUUGUUUGCUCAGCCAAACCUGGCUUGAGUCCAUUACUUUACGAGCUGUAGGAUUGUGGGCAAGUUAUAUAAUCUGACAACCAUAGUCCUCUUAUCGUGGAAGUGGGUAAUAAAGAAAUCUGCAGGGUUAUUAUGAGAAUUAUCUUAAUGAUAUAACAAAUGCUGAGAUAGCUUUGUAAAGAGCUAUACGAAUAUUGGUUAUGUUCGAUUUUUAAGAAUAUUUAAUUUUUCUUAAUUAUUUAAGAAUAAUAUUCCUGCUUUGUGAAAGGCACUGUGCCAAGGGCCUCUUGUUUUAUUCUCAGUAUCCUUCGAAGCAGGUACUAUUAGGAUCUCCAUUUGACAGAUUAGGAAAUUGAGGCUAAGAAAGGGCCAAUAUUGGCUAAGCCAACACAGCAGGGAAGUGGGAGAGCUGGAAUUUAAAUCCAGGUUUGUUUGACCCCAGAAUACGUUCCGCUAGAGUUAGAGAGCUCACGGACCUGCCCUGAAGCUGCAACAGUCCUGCAGGGCCCUUUACACCAACCCUCCGCCCUCAUCCUGAUCCUUUGUCCCAUAAAGGGGCAGGCUCCAUCUGUGCCAGGGGCGUUCAGACCUCGCACCCCCUCAGCCCAACCUGAUUUCAGAGCGCUCGAGGAAGCAUGGACCUGGCUCGCGGUUGGUGUUUGACAGAUGUCUGCUAAGCAGGUGGACAAAUGAUGUUUAUGCUUAGAUCCACUCACUGCUCGCUUUUGUGAACUGCCCUGUUUUCAGGUUCUGGGCAACGUGUAACCCGCAGCCUCACGCACAUGGCUGCGCCACCCACUGGCCAAAGUGCAGAACUGCAGAAUGUAAAGAUGGGACUGGGGAUGUGCCGGUUUUUGCGGACCUGCUUCUCAGCGCUAGCUCCGCGCUCACUCAGAAGAUGAAUUAAUGCGCCAGGGCCCACUGUGCGCCAAGCCCUGUUCUGAGAACUGUGGAUACAAAGCUCCUGCCCCAGUGGAGUUCUUAUUCUAGUGGGAGAGACAGACUAUACGUGAAUAAAUAUAUAAUACGA